UGCCAGCCGCCGCGGUAAUACGGAGGGUGCAAGCGUUGUCCGGAUUUAUUGGGUUUAAAGGGUGCGUAGGCGGCCCUAUAAGUCAGUGGUGAAAGUCUUCGGCUCAACCGGAGGACUGCCAUUGAAACUGGCGAACUUGAGUACGGGAGAGGAAAGUGGAAUUCCGAGUGUAGGGGUGAAAUCCGCAGAUAUUCGGAGGAACACCAGUGGCGAAGGCGGCUUUCUGGACCGAUACUGACGCUGAGACGCGAAAGCGUGGGGAGCAAACAGGAUUAGAUA
rnacentral:rRNA from 1 species